GCCUGGGGUGUAUUCCAGAAAGCAAGGUUAACUUACCGUCAGAUAAACCUUGAACUCUUGGUUGAUUAACCCCAAACUAGCUUACUCUGGGUAUGUCGGUUCCAAAACACCUGUGAGGAGUUAGUUUAAUCAACCUCCUAUUGGUAACCCAGGGUUAAUGCGCGCGCACGGCAAGAACAUAAAGGCAUUUUCAAUGGAUCGCAGAAAUCAGGAGUCACCAUGGAAACCAAGGGACAAAAAAACGAGCUACAUACUUCGGUGAAACUAAGUUGGAGGUUUUAAUGCUUGCUUGAAGCCUACAAGCCCGUUAUAACUAAAAAAAAAAAACAACAACAAUACUGCUGCAUCAGCAAAAGAAAGAGAGUUGGCUUGGCAAAAAAAUAACAGAUAGAGUAAAUGCGUGAGUUUUAUAAAUUAUUAAAAGAAAUUAUAAAUGGGCUAUUUUCCCCUGUAAUUAGGCAAAAAUUAUUAUUAAAUGAUAAAAAUAGACAAGUAGCCUAUUUACUUGUUGGCCUCCAUACAUUUCUUAAUAUUACAGUAGUAAUGCACAUAAUUGGAUAUGUUAGGUUUUUAUAAGGUUCUGGAGCCAUAAGAAGUGUGAACCAAGUCAAAAUGAAACACAAAAACAUUCUCCUGCAAGAUAAUAUUUUCUAAACUUACUAAACUGAGGCCAUGUACUUUAGCUAUCUAAUGUAAUUUAGUUUUCUAUGUAGCCAAUAGAAAGAAGGCUGAGGCCCGUAAAACAGGUGGGGUCCACCUCCGCCUCCCCUCACCCCAGCUGAGGAGCUGGCACUGUCCCUGAAUAAAGGGCGACGGGGUACCAGGGGGCAGUUCGUCAGACUCAGAUACCAAGACGAGUGGCUUAGUAAAAUGUAGUUGCUGAUGGCCACGUUGUAUUAUUGGAUCCUCCUGCAACACCACACUGUCACAGUUGUAAGUGAUUAUUGUCUUUAGGUUUCUGUUUGCUAGCUAGACCCAACAUCCUUCCUUAUUUUCACUGUAGGAUGAUGAUGAAGAGACCACUUCUGCUGUGACAGAAACACAAAAUGUGGAGAGGUCCAUAGAGGAGAAUAAAUAAAUGGCAGGAGAUUUUAAUACAGCUGAGGGUCCAUCUACCUCCACAGAGAAUCUUAACGGUCUAAGAAAUGUUCUGCAGUUCUCCUUCCUCAUUUAAAUAUUUGGUCUGUGUUUGUAUUACAGACGUUUUCAGUCAUGUUUAAUUAUUCUGUCUUUAGUUGCCUGCCAAAGAGCUGUUUAAGGCCCACCUUCAAAAGCAAAUCAGAAAAAGUGACAUGGAGAUGGACCUUAUACAGCUUCAAAUGGAGGAGAAAAGGCUUAACCUAAAAAAGGCCAGACUUGAAAUUGAAUUGCUGGAGCACCAGCUUAAGGUGGGAAACAGUAUGUGAACAGUAUUUGUUGUUGAAUGAAAUCUAAAGCAAUAAAUACAAAUGUCUUUUGUUACAGGAAAUAAAGAAACAAUGAACAACA